AAAGCAGGCUAAAAGCAGAAGUAAUGAAGAUGGUGGUAACUCAAAAGCAAAAGGCAGAGUAAUCACCCCUUCACCACCCCCUUCCCUACCUCCUGUCACCUUUUAUUCUUCCAAGUCCACAUAGGAUGCUGACUUGGCACCUAUACAAUUUUGAGAUACAGAAACUUCUGCUACUUUUGGGUUGGCUAUUUAUGUAAAUACAUUGCUUAAAUGUAAAGGAAAAAUCAUUUUCCAAUUGGUACCUUAAAUAAAAUAGUUGUUUGUUUUUAUUUUAAGAUUUAUUCUCUAUCUAUGACUUAUGCUAUUCAGUGAAGGGCCAGGGUGUUUCUCAUGAUGCUGUGCAUUACCAAAAGCACUGUGUGUUGGACCAGGUUAACUUUUUUACCUCCUAGGAUCUCUGUCAUAUUCAGCAGCAGACAGGGAAGACAAUCAUACUGAAAGGGGUCAAUGAGGGAUCAAAGAAGGUAAAGCAUGGGGAUUGUAUUUGUAGAAAAGAGAUGUACAGAAGCUAUAAAGCUAGCUGCCACUGGAAAAACUAAAUACUCUUCUAGUAUAAAAUACUAGUAUUCAUUUUGGUAAAUUUAAUCUUACUACUCCAAUUAAUGGACUACAAAUGAUAGCUUAGACAAAUACUCUUAUGAUUAAGACUACUAAAUAUUUUUUUAGCAGUGUACCAAAACCUUAGAAGACAGAGUUUAUGGGGUGUGAUAUGAAAGGGUCCCUUAUAUUUUUGCCUUAUUCAAAUAGCUCACCAAUAUUUUGGACUGACUAGUCAUAGGAGGAGGCUAAAGAUUAUGAAUUGGAAAUCUAUUUCCAUUCAUUUAGGGCGGUGGGGAUGGAGAUUUGUUGAGCCCCUUUCACAUGGGAGAAAAGGUUGUCAUCUUGGGUCCCUUCUUAGCUUUUCCAACUAAGCUUUCUUCAUUCCCCUUACUUUCUUUAUUUUUAAUAUUAGUGGAGAAAAAGUGGAAUAUUUUGUUAAAAGAGUUGGCAUU